CAGACCAGCUCCAGAGUUGCAUAUGUAUGUGUUAUCUGUGUACUAGAGAGCUUAGAAGAGCAUGCGAUCAGCACUCCUCCGCCGCGAGAGCGAGAACUGUUCUCACCUUUACGAUCACAUCGGUAAAUUGAAUAGGAAUCAUCAGAGAUGAGAGAGGAUGGUAUUGACUCGUCGAGCCACGUUUCUGUCAGUGCAAUUAUGUCGUAAUCAGAUUCUCCCAGAGCUAGACGUAGAUUAUUUAGUUUGGUACGAAUUCCUCUAACGUUCUGAUAAAACACGUGCAGAUGUAAGUUAGAAGAGACAUUCAGGUGAGUAUGAGCCGAACUAUCAUCGAGGCCCACAGCAGUGAUUGGUGCUACGCCAAGGUAUGGUGAGGAGCGGGGUGCCAGCUGAUUAUUAUUACUGUUAUCAACUAUUGCUGGAUUGUUACUUGCUGUCUGUCUGUUGUUGUUUCGGUGCGUAUAGUUUCGGUGCGUAUAGUUUCGGUGGACGGUACUAUUGUGCAAUGUGUGUUCGGUUUCGGUGAUGAGCAAUGAGCGGGGCGAGGACCCGGGGUAGGAUGUGGCAUUGAUGCGUGGUGUGUGAUGGUAUGGUGAGGGGCGAGGUGCCAGGUAAUUAUUUAUACUGUUACUAUCUAAUGCUGGAUUGUUACUUGCUGUCUGUCUGUUGUUUCGGUGCAUGUGGCUUCGGUGGACAGCUCUAUCGUGCAAUGUGCGAUCGGUUUCGGUGAUGGGCAAUGAGCAAGGUGAGGACCCGUGGUGGGAUGUGGCAUUGAUGCGUGGUGUGUGUUGGUAUAGAUUUCCAAAGGUUUGCGGGGAAGGUUUCGAGAAGCAGGACACCAAAAAUUUUGAACAGGCGAUCGACGGUUAGUGAAUUCACGGAAAAUCAAUCCCGCAGGCCAGGUAGUCGGAGCGAGAGCCUUGCUUUUAAGCGAGAGCAUUAAUCCCACCUUAAAAGAAACAAAAGUGAGAGUGCUCGUAUCACGAUCCCGUGGCAGCAGCCUAAUAACGGUGACGUCAUCAGUGCCUAGUUGCAACCAUACUAAAGUGGCCAUAACCGUUGGAUGACAUCUCAGCACACCCUGAAAAGGUCACCAUGAAACUGCAGUUCUCUAAAUGGCAUAUAACGCUCCGGCCCCCUCGUGUAUCCGAGUGACAAGUAAUCACUCUCACCCUCACAGGCCCCGUCAAAAUGUGCAAAACUUCACUCACUAUCAACGACAUAAAACCACAUCACUUUUAUCGUGGCAAAGCGGUUCAGAGUUGACUCCGGUCGUAAUAAAUUCGAAACCAACAAUAUUCAAAUUUUUGUACAACAUCUGAAGGCUGUAGAACUUGGCCAAGUGCUUUAGCUCUUUUGGUGUUAGCCCUGCUGCCAGCGUUUACUUUUGUGGCAGGUUCCUAUGCUAGUUAGAUAACCUCACAAGACACCAUGAAGCGAUGACCAUCGAGAGAAUGACCCGAUUAUGACGCCGGUGGUUAAGCUUUUAUCAUUCUCCUACUCUUUCAACACGGCUGACACGGGUCACAGAGAGUAUCAUCAUAAUUUAUGCCAUUCUCUCACUUUUGUGAUCUGUUGCAGUCCUCUAGUGGAUCACAACAGCAAGGAUCUGUAGUGCAUCUUUGAUGGUGUAAAAAUAUGGUAUCAAAAUAAAAGUGCACCAGCGUCGGCGGCAUGAGCAUGGAAGGCAAAGUUUGGGUGGAAAAUAUGUACGAACUUGACGAUAUUUUUUAUCAAAUAUGCCACAAACCGACUGCAGGACAAUCCUUUUUGAGGCCAACUGCUUCUAUUAACCUAGGGUGUGUCGCGAGGCUGUCCUACGGUAGCUUCGCACACAGACAAGCAAGCAACGAUUGGAUGGGCGUGAGUGUGUUCGUAAAAGUUAAUCCAAAACUCAAACAAACCUCGUCGUCUGCGUAGCGAGCAGUGUAUGAAAAAGUAAGAUACCACAGAAUAUUAAAAUCCUGCAAUUUGAAAUUCAGUACGAGAAAGGCUUUGGAAAGGCGAAACAAGAGAAGAUGAAACGCCGGUUAGCAGGAAGCAGCGGACCAGAAGAAAGGAUACAAUAAGGGAGGUGAAAAAUAAUCGCGGAUGCGGAUGUUGAAAUGUACCCAACUUCAAACCAAUUAGCGUUUCUGUAAGAUAUUUCAGUGCUCCAAAAAGUAUGCUAAAAUAGUUAGAAACACUGACAAUGCCUUUAAGACCUAAACACCAUUCUUUACAAUAACAUAAUAUACAAUUAAAUGCUUAUUUUAAUUCCUUUUUUUAAACAUGUCGAACCUGGUGUGCUGGAGGCGACGACAUAAUGUGUUCAAUCUGUUCCAAUAUUUCACCAGUUAUGCGAAACACUCGUCACACGGGAUUAUUCUCCUUGGUAAAUGCCG